AUCAUGUUAUUGAAAAUGAGGGGAUGCCUUCAACAGUCUCAUAAUUUGGUCUCUUGCCUGAAAUCAUCUCUCCUUGCCAGUCUCCUUGCUUUCAGUAAUGACACCACCAUUCAUUCAUUCACUCAGCCAAGAAGUAUCCUGCCAAGUCCCAUGGUAUAGGUAUGGACAAAGACUCGUUAGAGCAGAAAGCUUUCUUCUGGGUUUUUGUACAGUGCUUACCUUACGCUCAGCCAAGAAUGCACUGGAUUUCUGGUCAAGAAAGUGAAGUAGGACAAGGGCUCUGCUUGUCUCCACUCAUGACCUCAUCAAAAUUACAAUUAAACUACUGAACAACCAUCACUGAGAAUUGCCUGAAAUCUGCUGAACAGAAGGUCUACAAUUAAGAAUUUACAGAAGAAGCCACAUUAAGACUGGUAGGAAGGGUGGAGAUGUGGAAUAGGCUGGUCCCAUACUCAUAUGUGGUGGUUAAAAAUUGGGAGGUAUGUCUCAUCUGCAGAGGUUCCCCUGAGGAGCAAGGGGUCCCAGACCCACACCAGGGCCCCCAGCUCAGGGCUCCAGUACCAGGAAGAGACAUCCCUACAAUUUCUGGCUGUGAAAACCAGCAGAGUGUAGCUAAGUGAGACAGAGGGCAGCUGGAGUACCAGACAUUCCUCUUACAAGGCCCACACACAGAAUUACCGGCUGAUGGACCCACUCACUCUGAGCUCCAGUGCUGAGGCAGGAACUCAAAAGUCACCAGGACAUACAGAGAGGAACUGAAUUGUCUGGCUUCAGAGCCAGGGCUGGAGAGGCAGCUUUCUCCCAAACAGAUCUGGCAGAAGUCAUUAUCCUUUGUUAAGCUUUUCCACAACCUAGUAUGCAGAUGCAGGGGGCUGCCAUAUCUGAAUCUCCAUUAGCCUGGCUCACACCAGUUGCCCUACUCUGGUGAUGCCCUGAGACUCUGUCCCACCCAAAUUUGGGCCCACUUCCAGUGGAUUUUUCAAACAAAUGAUCUGUCUUGGCUCCUGAUGCAGAUGUUCCUAAAAUCUCUGAAAGAUAGACAAGACACAAAUAAGUAGCAUUGGGCCUCAGUGUGCCCAUACCUCUUGCUAAACAGGCCCAAACUCAAUACUAGCAGCUGUCAGCCUCGGUUCACAGCUUAGCCGCUUGUAGGAAACUGCAAUCCCAGUGUGCAUGAAAGACACCUGCAGAUUGCUUUGUGGCUCAUGCUAUUUGGCCCUAUGCUGGUCACAGGUAGCACCUAAAUGUGGCUGGCAGCUGGGCCUCUCCAAGGAGGCCCAGGACCACUACACCAGGUGGACAUCUUUGGACCGUGCCAGAGGACCAGUCGGUCACCUCUGCAGACAAUACACCCAAAGCGCAGAUUGGGCAGGUGCCAGAUCCCUGCUAAAGUGAAUCCUGCUCUGUAGUGAAAGCCCUAACACAACAGCUUCUCCACUGUAAUCAUGGCCAGUCCUCACAACCAGUCAGGUCAGUACCUCCCAUUGAUGUGCAAACAGCUACCAAGGAUCAACUAAAAUAGGAGGGCAAACACAACCCACGUAACCAACACAUUUGCAGAACCUGGCUCAGGUGACCAGACAAACUAUGCCACUGGGAGCCCUAGGACAACCACUACAUAAGGCCACUCUACUAAGACCAGGAGACAUAACAGCUCUACCUGAUACGUAGAAACAAAUGCAGGGAGGCAGCCAA